AACAAAUACAGUUUAAACCAAGGAUACCGAAAUGUCAGGGGUUCGAGCCCCCUAUGAGGAGUACCGAAAUGUCAGGGGUUCGAGCCCCCUAUGAGGAG
rnacentral:tRNA from 1 species